rnacentral:rRNA from 1 species
AGUAGCGGCGAGCGAACGGGGAGCAGCCCAGAGUCUGAAUCAGCUUGUGUGUUAGUGGAACGGUCUGGAAAGUCCGACGGUACAGGGUGAUAGUCCCGUACACCAAAAUGCACAGGUUGUGAACUCGAAGAGUAGGGCGGGACACGUGGUAUCCUGUCUGAAUAUGGGGGGACCAUCCUCCAAGGCUAAAUACUCCUGACUGACCGAUAGUGAACCAGUACCGUGAGGGAAAGGCGAAAAGAACCCCGGCGAGGGGAGUGAAAAAGAACCUGAAACCGUGUACGUACAAGCAGUGGGAGCACCUUCGGGUGUGACUGCGUACCUUUUGUAUAAUGGGUCAGCGACUUAUAUUCUGUAGCAAGGUUAACCGUAUAGGGGAGCCGCAGGGAAACCGAGUCUUAACUGGGCGUUAAGUUGCAGGGUAUAGACCCGAAACCCGGUGAUCUAGCCAUGGGCAGGUUGAAGGUUGGGUAACACUAACUGGAGGACCGAACCGACUAAUGUUGAAAAAUUAGCGGAUGACUUGUGGCUGGGGGUGAAAGGCCAAUCAAACCGGGAGAUAGCUGGUUCUCCCCGAAAGCUAUUUAGGUAGCGCCUCGUGAACUCAUCUUCGGGGGUAGAGCACUGUUUCGGCUAGGGGGUCAUCCCGACUUACCAACCCGAUGCAAACUACGAAUACCGAAGAAUGUUAUCACGGGAGACACACGGCGGGUGCUAACGUCCGUCGUGAAGAGGGAAACAACCCAGACCGCCAGCUAAGGUCCCAAAGUCAUGGUUAAGUGGGAAACGAUGUGGGAAGGCACAGACAGCCAGGAUGUUGGCUUAGAAGCAGCCAUCAUUUAAAGAAAGCGUAAUAGCUCACUGGUCGAGUCGGCCUGCGCGGAAGAUGUAACGGGGCUAAACCAUGCACCGAAGCUGCGGCAGCGACACUAUGUGUUGUUGGGUAGGGGAGCGUUCUGUAAGCCUGCGAAGGUGACCUGUGAGGGUUGCUGGAGGUAUCAGAAGUGCGAAUGCUGACAUAAGUAACGAUAAAGCGGGUGAAAAGCCCGCUCGCCGGAAGACCAAGGGUUCCUGUCCAACGUUAAUCGGGGCAGGGUGAGUCGACCCCUAAGGCGAGGCCGAAAGGCGUAGUCGAUGGGAAACAGGUUAAUAUUCCUGUACUUGGUGUUACUGCGAAGGGGGGACGGAGAAGGCUAUGUUAGCCGGGCGACGGUUGUCCCGGUUUAAGCAUGUAGGCUGAUUGUCCAGGCAAAUCCGGAUAAUCAAGGCUGAGGUGUGAUGACGAGGCACUACGGUGCUGAAGUAACAAAUGCCCUGCUUCCAGGAAAAGCCUCUAAGCAUCAGGUAACAUCAAAUCGUACCCCAAACCGACACAGGUGGUCAGGUAGAGAAUACCAAGGCGCUUGAGAGAACUCGGGUGAAGGAACUAGGCAAAAUGGUGCCGUAACUUCGGGAGAAGGCACGCUGGUGUGUAGGUGAAGCCCCUGCGGGUGGAGCUGAGACCAGUCGAAGAUACCAGCUGGCUGCAACUGUUUAUUAAAAACACAGCACUGUGCAAACACGAAAGUGGACGUAUACGGUGUGACGCCUGCCCGGUGCCGGAAGGUUAAUUGAUGGGGUUAUCCGUAAGGAGAAGCUCUUGAUCGAAGCCCCGGUAAACGGCGGCCGUAACUAUAACGGUCCUAAGGUAGCGAAAUUCCUUGUCGGGUAAGUUCCGACCUGCACGAAUGGCGUAAUGAUGGCCAGGCUGUCUCCACCCGAGACUCAGUGAAAUUGAACUCGCUGUGAAGAUGCAGUGUACCCGCGGCAAGACGGAAAGACCCCGUGAACCUUUACUAUAGCUUGACACUGAACAUUGAGCCUUGAUGUGUAGGAUAGGUGGGAGGCUUUGAAGCGUGGACGCCAGUCUGCGUGGAGCCAACCUUGAAAUACCACCCUUUAAUGUUUGAUGUUCUAACGUUGGCCCCUGACCGGGGUUGCGGACAGUGUCUGGUGGGUAGUUUGACUGGGGCGGUCUCCUCCCAAAGCGUAACGGAGGAGCACGAAGGUUAGCUAAUCCUGGUCGGACAUCAGGAGGUUAGUGCAAUGGCAUAAGCUAGCUUGACUGCGAGCGUGACGGCGCGAGCAGGUGCGAAAGCAGGUCAUAGUGAUCCGGUGGUUCUGAAUGGAAGGGCCAUCGCUCAACGGAUAAAAGGUACUCCGGGGAUAACAGGCUGAUACCGCCCAAGAGUUCAUAUCGACGGCGGUGUUUGGCACCUCGAUGUCGGCUCAUCACAUCCUGGGGCUGAAGUAGGUCCCAAGGGUAUGGCUGUUCGCCAUUUAAAGUGGUACGCGAGCUGGGUUUAGAACGUCGUGAGACAGUUCGGUCCCUAUCUGCCGUGGGCGCUGGAGAAUUGAGGGGGGCUGCUCCUAGUACGAGAGGACCGGAGUGGACGCAUCACUGGUGUUCGGGUUGUCAUGCCAAUGGCACUGCCCGGUAGCUAAAUGCGGAAGAGAUAAGUGCUGAAAGCAUCUAAGCACGAAACUUGCCCCGAGAUGAGUUCUCCCUGAGACUUUAAGUCUCCUGAAGGAACGUUAAAGACGAUGACGUUGAUAGGCCGGGUGUGUAAGCGCAGCGAUGCGUUGAGCUAACCGGUACUAAUGAACCGUGAGGCUUAACCUU